UAAGCUCUUAUGCAAAUAGAGGGCUGCGCUACAAAAUUUAUCUACCUGUCUGGUGGUACUGGAAUUACUUCCUUCCAACAGCCUGCCAACCAUCUGAGGAGAAUCAAAACCUGGGCAUUUAGCCGUCAAAGGGUUAAGAGAACUCCAGCAGCUGUAUAUUUGUUGAAUACCAGCCUCCUGAUGAAUACCACUUCCCCAGAAACAAACCACCCACUGAUACAACUUCUGUCUUAUCUGCACUGAGUCUCAGUUGAAUGACCAUUCCAGUCCACUCCUGGUUCCAGACACUGAUUCAUCACUUCCACCAAUUGAUCACACUGAAUUUGUUCUAUUGUUAAAUGAACAUACUCAGGAUGCUGAAUUCUGUACAACCAUAUU